AAAGUUUCUUACGAAGAAGGUUUAGCCAACUACUUCGGCCUCCGGCGGAGGUGCGAUGAAGGUAACAACGUCGUGCUGAGCGUCCGUGCAGGGGGAAGCGUAGGCCAGCUAAUGAGCUCCGAAAUCAGAGAUCUCAGGUGCCGACCUUGUCAUGGCAAGGGGAAGGCAACAUUGAACACGUCGAUAUCGGCGAGGCGUCGUUCGGACCUGGCGGAGUCGUUGAACC
rnacentral:ncRNA from 1 species